GUGUCAGCAGCCGCGGUAAGACGUAGGGAGCGAGCGUUGUCCGGAUUCAUUGGGCGUAAAGCGCGCGCAGGCGGCCGUGCAAGUCGGGUGUGAAAAUCCGGGGCUCAACCCCGGACCUGCAUCCGAUACUGCACGGCUAGAGGUAGGUAGGGGAGAUCGGAAUUCCUGGUGUAGCGGUGAAAUGCGCAGAUAUCAGGAGGAACACCGGUGGCGAAGGCGGAUCUCUGGGCCUUACCUGACGCUCAGGCGCGAAAGCUAGGGGAGCGAACAGGAUUAGAUACCCUGGUAGUCCUAGCCGUAAACGUUGGGUGCUAGGUGUGGGAGGAUAUUGACCCCUUCCGUGCCGAAGCUAACGCAUUAAGCACCCCGCCUGGGGAGUACGGCCGCAAGGCUAAA
rnacentral:rRNA from 1 species